rnacentral:tRNA from 1 species
GCCGGUGUAGCUCAGAGGCAGAGCAGCUGAUUCGUAAUCAGCAGGUCGUCGGUUCGACUCCGACCACCGGCUCCA